rnacentral:rRNA from 1 species
UACGUAGGGGGCAAGCGUUGUUCGGAAUUACUGGGCGUAAAGGGCGCGUAGGCGGCUUACCAAGUCAGGCGUGAAAUUCCCGGGCUCAACCUGGGGGCUGCGCUUGAUACUGGUGAGCUUGAAUGCGGGAGAGGAUAGUGGAAUUCCCAGUGUAGAGGUGAAAUUCGUAGAUAUUGGGAAGAACACCGGUGGCGAAGGCGGCUAUCUGGCCCGUAAUUGACGCUGAGGCGCGAAAGCGUGGGGAGCAAACAGG